GACAGAGGCCCCAAGCGUUAGGCGGAAUUACUGGGCGUAAAGCGUGCGCAGGCGGUUUUGUAAGCCAGAUGUGAAAUCCCCGGGCUCAACCUGGGAAUGGCAUUUGGGACUGCAAGGCUUGAGUGCGGCAGAGGAGACUGGAAUUCCUGGUGUAGCAGUGAAAUGCGUAGAUAAUCAGGAGGAAUACCGAUGGCGAAGGCAGGUCUCUGGGCUGACACUGACGCUCAUGCACGAAAGCGUGGGGAGCAAACAGG
rnacentral:rRNA from 1 species